UACAGAGGUGGCAAGCGUUGUUCGGAAUUAUUGGGCGUAAAGAGCUCGUAGGCGGUUCGUCGCGUCGGCUGUGAAAUCCCGAGGCUCAACCUCGGGUCUGCAGUCGAUACGGGCAUGACUGGAGUUCGGCAGGGGAGACUGGAAUUCCUGGUGUAGCGGUGAAAUGCGCAGAUAUCAGGAGGAACACCGGUGGCGAAGGCGGGUCUCUGGGCCGAUACUGACGCUGAGGAGCGAAAGCGUGGGGAGCGAACAGG
rnacentral:rRNA from 1 species